GUUUAAUUACAGAAUAUGUGAACUGUCACAAAACUCAGCCCACAAAUCAAUAACCCAAAAUAAUAAGAACGACCUUCUGGAUUAAUUAAUUAAUUUCAGUCAGAAAAAUCUCAUUUUUUUCCUAAUCUUUACUUUCGUCAUUUUCGUCAGCGCCAUUAAAUAUCGAGUAAUCACCAUUGUUGGACCUUCAAAUCAAUAUCAGACUCAUAUAUCCAAGUAAUAAUCAGGAUGGAUAAGGAAAAGAGGCGAGAAUGGAUGCAUUGUGAUAAUAGGCUUAGCAAAACAUGCUACUGCUAUCCAAUAAAAAGGAAGCGAAAACAAAAAACAAGUGGAAGUUCCAAGAGAAGAGCAACUUAGAAAAUGUAUUGUACUCAUUUAUAAGAUGGAUAAUGAUGGAGGUGGUCUGAGAGGGUUGAUGGAGAUCAAUUACGCCUGUUUUUUUAUGCUGCCAAUACCAAAUCAAUAAGUACUUGAUACAAUAUCACCAGGCUGCCAUGAAUUCUAUGCAAGCAGGUUCGUCUUCUCCUUCUAAUAGCACCUGAUAAAAAGUUGUUUGAUUGACUAGAUAGCAAUUUGGCAUUUUGGCUAAUACUUGAUCAAGAAUACUGUUUAAGCUGCUUGCCUUAUUGUGGUACAUUAUUAUUUCUUCUAUGUUUUCUAGCUCUAUUUUUUUUUAUUUUUUUUUUUUGAAGGAAAUUCUGCUGCUGCUAGAACAUGCACCUUUUUUGUUUUGGUUCUCUCUCUCACAGACUCUCUUUCUCUGUAUCUCUCUUUAUUAAACUGCACUUGAUAAUGUCAAUCAAUUGUUUCUAGUCAAGGACUCAUUGUUAUGGCUUAAUGUCUGUAAGGUUUGUUGUUAAUAUGUUAAUGAUAUGGCAUUUUUUUGGUUGUGGUUAAGAUUAUUAUUAUUCAAGUGUCUUUAGGUGUGUGGGUUAAAAUGGUCUCACAAUGAUAAGGAACUUGCAUCAGGAGGCAAAAACUAUACAGUCAGGUAAGUUGUGGUUGGGAUUAAUGCAUGUUAGCCUCUUACUCCUCUUAGCAAAUGGUCAAUAUAUCUUUUUCUGUUUUAGCCUUUAUACCUUCAUUGUACAGUUUUAAUACAAGUAUACCGGUUCUGAUAGGAUUCUGUUUACCUUGCAGUAGCUUGCUCAACUUGUACUCUUGCAGUAGCUUCUAUGAUGCGUGCAGCUGGUCUUAUUUACUCAUUCUUCAAAUAUUCUUCAAAUUGUAAAGUGUUUAGUAACUUUAGUUAAGAAAUUCAGUGAAUUUUAUUGUAAUUAGUAUACUAACUUUCAUGAGAGUUGGAGUAGGUUUAUGAUAUAAAUUUGCUUUGUUCUUGUUUAAAUAAACUGGUUGGUUUUAUAUAAUAUUUUUGUUUCA